GGGGCCUGGAGGAAGUCACACUCACAUUGAGCUAACAUUCUUUUCUCCUGACCCCAAAUUUUUCUCCCUUAACCAAUUGCAAAUCAGAAAAUCUUUGAAUUUACCUAUUGCCUAUAACACCUCUACAUUCCCCCGAACCCUCCUCCCCUUCAAGAUACCCGAUUCUUUUAAGCCAACAAAUGUGUAACCUUCAUGUACUGACUUAUGACUUUGCCUGUAACUUCUGCUUUCCCGAAUUUUACCCCUGCCUUUAAAAACCCUUACCUGCAAGCUAUUGGGGAAGUCAGGAUUUGAGAGUGAGCUACCUGGUCCUCCUUGCUUGGUGCACUGCAAAUAAAUGUCUUCCUUUCUACUGUUGCGGGACAGUCAGAGACAGGAAAGACCGAACAGAGUUCAGGAAAGCCUUUAUUAAGGUAAUCACCUAGCUCAGUAGGACUAGCGUCCAGGAAAGUCUGAGCCCUGGACAAAGAAAGCAGCCACCUUUUAAGCAGUCAGUGGCCGGGAGCUAUGUGAUGCAGCAAGCAUACUUACAGAAGUGAGAACAAAGGCAGUUGAUCAGUCUUUUACAUUUAUCUAUCCUACAUGUUCUAUAUCCUUGGGAAACUCUGUUUCUGUAACAUAUGCUUAUCAACCUUGUAACUUUGCAGCUGUAGGGAGGUGAAGCAGGAACUCACUGAGCCUCAAGGAAUGUGAAACUGGUGAGUACAGAUAAGGCUUGCUGAGCACAGAAGGAAAAACAGGCAGUUAGUAUCCUUCUCUAAGUUAGACUACGUAGGGCGGGGGACUACACUAAACUUAGCUUUGGAAGGAAAAACUAAAAAUUUCUUGGCGGUCUUUGAUUAUACUUGUAAAAUUCAUGAAUUCCUUCUUCAUCCCCGCUUCGGUGCUUGCCAUCAAUGUAGAUUAAUAAAGAGCACCACAGUUGUUUAUCUUUUCCUGUGUAGGCACAUAUUCUUCCUGGGGAACUGGUUGGUAUUUUUGUAAUGCCAUUAUUUUGGUGGUAGUUGUUCUGUCCACUAUAGCUUUAAUAGUAGACUGGAUGCUUCUGAUGAGGAGAAGUAAAAGACAAGGCAGUAUUAAACAUCCUCCUACUAUAGCUGUAAAACCAAUUAUCAAGGUUUUAAAGCCUCCAAAAGUGAGUUGGGCUCCACGAGGACCAAGUCUGGACUGGGACAUGGGCUAACUUCCUCAUUCUAGCAGUAAUUUCCAUAACAGCUCUUCCAUUAUUACCAAUUUCUAAGCAACAGUUGGUCAAAUUAAGCUUGCCACAAACUUCUCCUUCUGAGGCUACGAGGUAGUCUAAUGCUAGCCUAUUUUGGUAUAUAGCAUCUCUCAUUUGAGUGGCCUGUAUGGCUAACAGAGCCAAGGCUCAGGCUGUUUCAUUGACUAUGAUUUCUGUACUACUUGCAAUCUUAUAAUUUGGUUUAACGUGUAAAUAGGGGUGCGGUAGCCCCAUGAUCCAUCUUGGGCCCAUGUAGCUGGCCCAUAGUAUUUGAUAAUUUUUUCAGAAGGCCAUUCAUUAUCCUUCCAGCUACCUAUCUCAAUGUCCUUCUUUAUGUUUGUGUUUCUCUUUUCUACAGUACUUAUCUGAGUAAAGACGUUUCUUCUGGUCCUUUUUCCUUCUUCAUUAUAGACUGGGUAACUUAAAUCUUCCCCUUAUUUCAGUGGGAGCAAGAAGAAGGACGGCCUUAUUGUCCUUAACACACAGGCUCCGGUCCACUUCUCGGGCAAUAGUUAAUAAGCUUUAGUCCCACAGAUCCAAUAUAGUUCUGCCAGUGCUUUCUAAACAUUUGGAGCAUCUAGUUGAUACCAUAACUGAUUUAGUGCUGGAAACUGAAAGAGAGGGUUAAAAUCUGGUACAGAGGAAUUGUCUAUAAAGCUUCUUCACUAAGUCUUAUUCUUAGACUCUUCAAAAUAUUGCUGACCUAAACAAGUCAUAUCUCCUACUUCAGUUUGAAAGUCUUUUUUCCCCGUC